CUCUUCGGUGUUUCUUUCAGUGAUAUGAAGUUCAGGAUCCCAACUAGAAUACGACGUUGCAUUUAAUCAUAAUAUCUCCUUAGGUUCCUCUUGGCUGUGACAGUUUCU
rnacentral:lncRNA from 1 species